rnacentral:lncRNA from 1 species
UUGGAACUGAUCACGGUUAGGAUUCCACGACUCAACCAAACCAGCUUCGGUCUGAAUACGUUUAUCGGGUUCGAGGGCAUAGAGUUUAUUGAGUUGGCACCCAUUACCCUGCUGAAAUUCACGGCGAGCUAGAGAGCCAUGGAAGAGAACAAGUAGGAAGAAAGAAAGAGAGAGCAGCGAAGAAGGCUGAACCAUAGUGGCAGAGAGGAGGGGAUAGGUGGUUCUGGGAUGGAAGUGGCGAAUGGAAGGGGUUGGUAUUUAUAGAGGAAGAAGGAGAUGCAAAAGAAAGAUGAUCGUAAGGUUUCUUUGGUCACUCUCUUUGAUUUGCAUGGCUACUUCAUCUUAACUUCUUACACCUAAUAAAGUCAGAUAGGGCAGGUGUAUCAAAACUCCAUAGAAGAAUACAAAAGUUUGUGAAUGGGGAAAAAGAAAAAAGAAGAAGACAACAUUGGAUUGCAAAAACCAUUACCACAACACCAAAAAGUGAUCAAGUGUCUAAUAACUAUGGUUGAAAUUUAGCAAUUGAAGUGUCAUGUAGGCAUAACUAUGGUUGAUUUAGUACUUUAACUCGAUGUUUGAUCUUUAACGUCCAAGUAAAGAGAGGUUAGGGACAAAUGUUAGAUUUCUUUUCUUCUUUUGCAUUUAAUAUAACGCUCUUUUGCAUCUCCAUGCCCAAUUGUUUAAAUCACACAUACAGAAGAUGAUCUAUCCAGUGGAGUCAAUGUUUGAUCUAUUUCGUUAUAUUUACAGAUUGAUAAUUUAAUAUACUUUACUUAAACAUAUUUUGUUGUCUAUAAUAUUUACUUAAACAAAUCUCAUACUAUAAUUCAAACUGUAUGAUACUUUACUAGUAAUACUUUAAGAACACAAAUCCUAUAUAUAUACACUUAAAACUCUUAUUAAUUCGAAAAGAUAUACACUUGCUCAAAUAACCCUAGCUAGUUGUAACCAGAGUUACAACCACAUAGAUGCCAACAAAUAAAGACCAGCCUGGAGGGCAAUUAAUGACCAUCGUCCCCUAAAUGUCCCUUCAGGUACCAAGUCUGUCUAAGCUUCAACAUUAAUGGGUGUUAAACCCUCAUAAUCUUUGUUCUGUUUAUAGUAAGUAUCACUGUUGGUCCUUCAUAAGAUUUCUUCAAUCUAACCACCUCCUUAUCCUCUAAUAUUUUUUCUCUUUUUAAAAAAAAUAUGUAGUUCUUUUGUUUAGCUUUGAAUUUAUUUGGUGCAUGGCUUAGAAAGAAAUUAAGAUUAGUAAAUGCAAGUAUUGAUCCUCUGUCAUUUCAGGACUAUGAGAAUUAAUUGACGCAGCGGCAGUAGUUUCUUUUGUUUUUUCGUUGUCUCCCUCUCUUUGUUCUUGUUAAUGCCGAAUUAAUUCACGAGGUUAUUAUAGUUAAAUAUGAUAUCAAGUGAAAAAUAAAAGUAGAAAAACAAAAGCAAAAUGACCAUAGAAGCUGGUAGAUGGAAGAAGAGUCAAGAAAGCAUGGUGAACGCAUCACUUGCAUUCUCUACUACAAAUCCAGUUAUCGGUGACAAUUUUGUUUCUGCCACCAGAAUAAUUGUCACAAAUACAACAUAAUAUGUGACAUUACAUUUUAGGAUUAAGUAUUAUUUAUCGCUGCAGUUUGGUCUAAUACACAAAUUGAUUCUUAUAUUUUUUUAUUAUAUUAAAAUUUAGAACGUUUAAAUCAAAAAAAUUUACCCUAAAAACUUUUUCAGCGCAAAUAUAUAGUUAAAUUAUUUAAAAUACGUAAUCUAAACCCACAUUUAAUAAAUAACUUUUUAUUUUAGCUUAUGUGGCUAAUAGUAGACCCAUUAAAAACAUUAAAAAUAUGAAAAAAAGAAUAUUUAGAUCCAAAUUGAGAUAGUGAUCACGGUUCAAUUAACUGAAUCGUCGGCCAUUUUUAAGAACUUAAUAUAUAUAUCAAUUUUUAAAUUUAUGAACCUUAAAUCUAAAAUAUUAAUAUUGGCUAACCUGUAUUUACAGUACGGUUAACCAGAUUUUUAAUUUUUAAUAAAUAUUAAAUUUUAUAAUUUUUUUAAUAAAUUUUUAAUAUUUUAGCAUCCUUUUUCUUUCCUCAAUUAAUAAAUUAAUAAUAACAACGAUAAUAAUAAUAUAAUUAAUAUACUAUUUUUUUAAAAUUAGACUUAUUUUUUAAUAAGAAUUUUUUACUAAUUAAUAUAUUAAAUAUAUUUAUAUAAAUUAAUACUUCAGUAAUUUAUUAACUAAUUUAUUAAUUAAAUCUAUAUAAGCUAAUAUUAAAUAUAUAAUGGAUACAAGCAUUCCACAUAAUCAAUAAUUAUAAUAAAUAUAAUAAUUCUAUAUAUAUAUAUAUAUAAUUUCAGUGGUUAACUAAAACGUUGGUCUUUUAAUAUAGAGAAUCGAAACUAAAAUUGAAAACUGAAAAUUUCUAAAAUGAAAAAUAAAGUUGAAACGUUGGUUCAGUUAAUUUAUUUUAUCAAUUUAAUUUUUUUUUUUUUAUUCAGACAGAAUUCCUUCGAUUUUUUUUAUAUCACCCCUAGUGGUGAUAUGCCCUCUCUCUAUUUACUGUGUGAGUCGAUAUUUUAACAUUCCUUUUAAAUUAUUAUAUAUAUAUAUAUAUAUAUAUAUAUAUAUAUAUAUAUAUAUAUAUAUAUAUAUAUAUAUAUAUAUAUUAUAUUAAUUUUUGAAAUAAGUUUUGAAAUAAGUUUUAAUAUAUUUAUAAAUUCUAUAAUACAUUGUUAGAAGUUAUAUUAUUGAUAAAAUCAUAAUUCAGUGAUGGUUCAAGUUAAAUAUAUAUAAUAUUAUAUAAAAGAAUAAAAGUAUAAAUAUGUGUAUUANNNACAUAUAUACCUCAAGUUAAAAGUGCUAAACUUUUAUUAAUUUGACUGAAUUUGAUAACUUGAUACAGAAUGGGAUUAUGGUUGUCAUAGAAGCAACUAAUUCUUUUGUAAAUUUUGAAAUGGCAGAGAAAGGAAAAGGAAAAGAAGAAAGAAGAAGAAAAAGUAGGAGAAGGAAGAGAGAUAAAAGAGAAAAGUGGUAUUUUUUGAAAGUAAUUACUAUAUAUCUUUCAUAUUUUUUUUAUAUUACACUACUUACUCCUUAAUAUUUAAGAUUAGAUUUUUUUAUUUUUCUAUUUUAUAAUUUUAUAUUAAAGUCUAUUUUAUCGGAAUUUCUGCUAAAGAAUUGUUAACUAGGUUUAGUUUUAUACUAUUUGUCCACUAUGUUUUUUGUGUAAUAUACAUGCCUCCUUUAUUUUAUUUAUUGUAUUAAUUUUUUUUUUUGUAUUUUAAAAAUCAAUGCAAUUAAAAGACUAAAUUGAUAAAAAAAUAAUUUAAUUUUUAAAUUUUUUAUCAAAGUUAUGAUUUUAGUGUAACAAAAUUAAUAUUAAGGAUAAUAUCUAUUUUAUUUUAAUAAUUUAAAGUUAAAUUAUAUAAUUUUUUAAUAUUUUGAUAAAUAUAAUUAUUUUUAAAACACUUAAAUUUUAUUAGAGUUUAAUUAUGCCAAAAUUAGAGUAAUUAAAGAACACUAGUUAAUUAUUUGUGUACGAACACAACUUGAUUUUUACAUAAAAGUUAGACAAGAGAAUUCUAGUGUAACAAAUAAACUAUAAGGGACAUGUGUAUAUUACAUAAAAGAUCAAGGGGCAAAUGACAAUUGUUUAACAGAAAGUUUGACCAAAAGAAUUUUUAGUAUAAAAUAGAGAGAUGAAAUAUAUAUUUAUUAAAUAUUAAGAGGUAAUUAAUAUGAAAAUUUAUAAAGACAAAUAGUAAUUACAAAUGAAUGAGAAUUGUAUACAUUAAACCACCAUUAGCCACAUCAACACUAUUAAUUUCUCUGUUAUGUUGAGAGGUUUGAAUUGGAGGCUUCUACAAUUUAAGGGUAAAUAUGCUAUUCUCACCAAAUAUUAGCAGCAAAAAUGCACAUUUUCCUCUACUUUUAACUGGUCACUAUAUUAAAUUAAUUUUAUACUAAAAACUUCUUUUGUUAAAAUUUCUAUUAGGAAAUCGUUAAUUAGGUUUGGUUUUAUACUUUUUUUUUUUGUAAUAUACAAAUUGCACAUGUAUUUUAUUUUUACACUAAAAUUUCCUUGUAGUUUGAAAGUCAACGUAAUUAAGGAUCUAAAUUGAUUAAAAAAUAUAAUUUGAUCCUCAAACUUUUUAUCAAAGUUAUAAUUCUACUGAACAAAAUUAAUAAUAAUAAUAAUACUAUCUAUUUUAUUUUAACAAUUUCAAAUUAAAUUAUAUGAAUCUUCAAUAUUUUAAUUAAUAUAAGUACUUUUAAGAUAUUUAAAUUUUACUAAAAUUUAAUUAUGCUAAAGUUAGAAUAAUUAAAGAACACUAAUUAAUUGUUUUCGUACAGACACUAAAAUUAAUUUUUAUAUAAAAAUUAGACAAGAGAAUUUUAGUAUAAGGUCAAUUUGUAUAUUGCACUAAAGAUUAAGGAAAAAAUAGUAUAAAACUAAAUUUAGUUAACGGUUGGUUAACAAAAAUUCUAACCAAAGGGGUGUUACACAUGGUGCCCUUUCCUUAGCUUCCUUAAUCACACAAAUAUUUUCCUAAUCUUAAAAACAAAAGAUCCUAAGACAAUGAAAGAGUCCAAACCCAUCAGUCUCUGCAAUGUGUUUUAUAAAACUGUGUCUAAAGUGAUUACUAAUAGAACCAUGAAAGUACUACCUAGUGUUAUUUCUCAAACUCAAAGUGGCUUUGUGCAGGGGAGAUUGAUUACAUAUAAUAUUCUUAUUGCUUUUGAGUUCUUUCAUCACAUGAAAUGAAAUGCAUGAACAAAGGUAAAAAAAAAGUCAGAUGGCUCUAAAACUUAACACGACUAAAGCAUAUGAUAGGGUUGAAUGAAUUUUACGGAGAAAGUUAUGCAUAAUAUAAGAUUUCUUGUUGCCUUGAUUGAGCUGACCAUGAAGUGCAUUAGAUUUGUUUUUUUUACUGUCAUGAUUAAUGGCUUUUUUCAUGAUUUCUUUAAGCCCUAAGAAGGGAAUAAGACAUGGCGAUCCUCUAUCCUCCUUAUCUAUUUAUAAUGUGUGUUGAGGCUUUUUUAGGAUUGCUUUAUAAUGCUGAGAGGGACGAGAAAACUCAUGGUGCUUGAGUUGCUAGAGUUGCUCUCACCAUAUCUCAUUUAUUUGUUGCAAAUGAUUCAAUAGUCUAUGCUAGAGCAAUUCAAUAGGAAGGGGAAUCCAUUAUGUGAUACAAACCAAACUAGCACAACGAAUCCUACUCUAACAAAGAGUCUUGAUGAUGCAAACCUUACUAGCUCAAGGAAUUCUAAUCCAAUAAGGAGUCCUGACUCAACUGGGAAUCCUAAUCCUGUAAGGAGUCCUGAUAAUAUUAGGAGUUCAAGAAUCCUAAUUCGGAGUUCAAGCAAUAAAAAGAAUCCUAAUUCAACUAGGAGUCAUAGUUCGAUUGAAAUUGCAAGUCAAUGAGCUUAUCGAAGUCAUUUUGGCUAAGGACACAUCAAGACUUAAAAAAUUGGAUUUAAGUUCAAGGCUUGUUAAUCUAAUUCAGUUUAUUGGACUUGAAUGAAUUUAAUUGGCUUAAAAUGACCAAAAGAAGUUGAAUUGGAGCAUAUGACAACUCUGGGCCUAACUUGGCUUAUGUUAUGAGGCCCAUCUAUAUGACUUAUGUAAAUUAGGAUUUUAUGGCUUAUUUUGGGUGGCCACACAUGUAUUUUAACAUAAUUAGAACUUUGUUUAAGUUAUCUCUUUUAGUUAGGAAGGUUAUAUUUAUCCUAGAUUAGAUGUAAAUCCUUAUUAGUGGUUAUAUUUAUUCUAGAUUAGAUAUAAAUCCUUAUUAGUUAAGUAAGAGUUCUAUUCUUACUAAGACUUUGGAUAUGUCUUUAAAGCAUGUCAAAUUCGUAUGCCUUUGGCAGAUUAUAAUUAAUUACAGUUUUGUACUUCCUUUCAAAUCAAAAUUACUUGUAUCUUGUGUACUUAUUGAAUGUAAAACUUACUUAUCAAGGAGUUGAUAUAUCUUUGUGGCGUACUUAGGAUUGGGGUUUAAGGGAUUUAGUUUUCCUUAGGUUCUAAUUUUUUAUUAUCUUUCUAAGAGAUCUCUCUUCUAAUCUUUCUUAGAGGUUAAACCGAAUUGGUUCUUGGAGUUUUUAUGUUAAUAUGUUGGGGGUCUGCAAUUCAAAAGUAUUAGAGGGCAUCUGGUCUGGUGAUAAACUUAGAGAAUUCGGUGGUGGUGUUUAGCAUUAAUGUGAGCAUGGUUAGCAGGCACCAAAUUAGCAAUUGCUUGGGAGUCCAGCUUGUGAGUAAAUUUGAUAAGUAUCUUGGAUUACCUACAGAGCUAGGGAAAGUAAAGAAGCAGAUUUUUGGGAUGCUGUCUGAUCGGGUUUGGAAGAAAUUAUGUAGAUGAAAUUAGAAUGCCUUGUCACGACCCCACCCGUGGGCCCGUGACCGGCACUAGGGAAUGGGUAAAGAGGUAAAAAUUUUGAGAAAGAAAGAUUAAGGUCCCUGGUCGAGCAUUGCUCUCGGGGCGCCAGUCUUAUUGGAUUAAGAGAGCCGAAUGGCUACUAGAUUUCUUAUUUGGAUAUUUAAGUGACCAGACUGGAGGUAAGGUCCCUGGUCGAGCUUUGCUCUCGGGGCGCCAGUCUUAUUGGAUAAGAGAGCCAAAAGGCUAAGGCUGAGAGUUAAGUGACCGGACUGGAGGUAAGGUCCCUGGUCGAGCUUUGCUCUCUAGGCCCCAGUCCUGUUGGAAUGAGAGGUUUGAGAUGUUAGAGUUGAGGUUAGUUGAGACAUAAGUGUUGAAAUAAUCGAGAUUUUAGAGUUGGGAUUAGAGUUCUACUGAAGUACUCUGUCCCGUUGCAUGUGGAAUAAAUUUUGUUUAAGCAUGGCAUGACACGUAUGGUUCGCGUGAUUUACUAAUUAUUUUAAAAUUAAAUGAAUGUGACAUUGAGAUAUUUGAAACUGUUUUAGAUAUAUGAUUUUAACUCACUCUCGAGACUGACAGUCUCCAUUUAUGUUGUUUUUCAGAUUCGUGACUGUUAGUUCUCUCGCGACUCUUAUUCAGUAACCCGACUCCUUCAUCAUCGGGUGAAGUAUUUGAUUUGGUAUGUAAAAUGGUAAAUCUUAGAUUCUCCGCAGUAGUAAAUAGUAGAUGUAUCAGUUGUAAAUUUUCUGAGCUUCGGGUCUCGCCUAGUUUUUCUGGUAGACCGAAGUAAUUUUGUAAAGUGUAACUAUUAAGAUAAAUUGUGACUUUAAUAAUAUUAAUUUGAGAUGAGAUUUGUUUAAAUCAGUGAGUGUCAGGCUUACUACGGGUUUCGGUGGCCUUAAGCCUACCCAUUCCCUAGUGCCGGUCACGGGCCCACGGGUGGGGUCGUGACAAAGUUGGUAUCAGAGCUUAGGUUUAGAUUUCCUUCGACCUAAGUUAAGAUUUUUCUUGGUACUGCGGAGUUAGGAUCAUGUCUGUCUUGUUGUUUUCAUUGACUCCAGUGUUUCAGCCUUCACUGUUAGAGAGUCAGUCUUUCCUUUCUUGUAAGCUUGUCUUUGGUGCUGUGCUGAGAAUGAGCUUGUAGCGAUGGGAAGAUCCAGAGCGCGAUAGACUCGUGCUGUUUCUUCAAGUGAUUAGUGCAGUCCGCCUUUAGAAGAUUUGAUUGUUGUUUCGAUGGUGGGCACCGCAGUCAGUUUUAGUGUAGAGCGUGGUUGCAAUCGUGUCAUGGAUUGUCUCGUCAUUGCAUCAGGCAUCGUCUUAUUGAGUAGCGCCGAAAGUAGUGCCUGGGAAGUCGAGUAGAUGUCAGAGCUCUAUGGUUGAGUUUUGGUGAUUGUAAGAAGCUUAAGAAAGGUAGCAGGAGUAUUUUCGGACGCUCAUAAUCCAGAGAAACUUAAGCGAACAUUAUCUAUUUUUCUAAGUAGAACAAGUGUUUUAAAAUACAAUAUUGCGCCCAGUCCCGUAAGAAUGCAUAUGGCAUUUCACUGUUAGGCAUACAUAAAUUCAUUUUAGGACAUGCAUCAUACAUUGUGCAUUGCAACCCUUGGUGAUAGGGGGCAUCAUCACCCUGGCGCGCGAUAUUGUAGAAUUUUAUAUAAAGAAAAAUGGCUAGAGAUUUUACGAUUUUGUAAAAGUAUUUUUCAAGAUAAUAAAGUUUUUAUCAGUGAUGAUUAUAAAGUAAAUAAAUAAGUAAAUUUUUUCAAAGUAAAUAGUGUUAGCUUGAGAAUUCUCUGGAUGACGAGUUGAGUUGCUGAGAGAGUAAGUCUGUGGAGCUGUAGGCCCCAUGUUAGAUUAUAAGGGAGGCUUUUGGAUUUCAGUCAAGGAGGAAUCUUGUGUCAGGAUGGCAUGGGUUAUGUCGGUUGAUGCGAUCAGAUGGAUGUUAUGUCAUAAGUGAUGUGACUCGGUAAGAAAAUAAGGUUAUGGAGACCCUUGGUUUUGUCGGCAGGUUGGUGAGGUGGCAUGUAAGUUGGACUUGCCGCCAAGUAUUAGUAAUGUUCUCUGAGGUCAAAUCCAGUUGUUUGUAAGUCUGAGUUGAGGAAGUAUAUUUUCGAUCCUUUGCUCGUGUUGGAUCCUCAGUGUGUGAAUUUAAGUGAAGAUUUGGUUUCCGAGAAGUAGUAAGUGAGGAUCGUGGAUUUUCAGGUUCGCCAGUUUUAUUUAAGGGUUUUGUCGAUGAGUCUUGUGGUUUAGUUUAGUUUCUGCCGAGGAAAGUUCUCUAGAAGCCGGGUUGGAGUUGAGAGGUUCCUAAUUAGUUUCAGUCUUAGAGUGUAGCCCCUUUUCUUUUAAAAUUCGAGGUCGAAUUUUUUUUUUUAAGGGGGGGAGAAUGUAACACCCGGAAUUUUUAUAUAUUUAAUAAUGAGUUUUUAUUUAAGUUAAUUUUAGCUUCAUUAUUAUUGGGUUUAAUUUGAAAUGAUUAUAUUUUGGUUAUUCAAAAUUUUUCCAAAUGCAUAUUUAUAUAAGUAAAAUUAUAUAUUGAAAAAUUUUGGAAGAAAUUAUAAGGGAUGUUUUUAUAAAAGAAUUUUGAGAAAAUUGGUAUUAUAAUUGAUUAGUAGUAUUAAAUUUUAAGUUGGAAAUUGAUUAUUUAAUUUAAUUGUGUGUAGGAUUUAAUUGGAAAUUUAUUUUGGAAUAAGGAUUGAAAGUAUAAUGUUAUUUUUAUGGGGUUUUAAUGGAAAUUUGUGAGCUUGGUAUUUUUGUAAAUAAAUAUGUCGGUCAGGGGUAUUUUUGUAAUUGUGUAUUUUCAAUAAUUCGGAUUUGGCCCAAAUUAAAUAGUUAGGGGCUUAAUUGAAAGGCUAAAAAGAAGUUUGGGGGUCAAAUUGGAAUUCUGCAGGAUGAAAUUGUAAGUAAUUAAGAAAGUUGAGGGACGAAAUUGUAAUAAGGAAAAGUUCAAGGGUCAAAUGUCGAUAUUGAAAGGAAUGGAAGUCGGGGAAGGAAGAGAGGAAGAGAGAGAGAGAGAGCCGAAGAAGAAGGAGGAGCUGCGGUGGCGUGCGUCGUCGGAGCGGCUUCGGAAGUGUGCGGGGCUGGCCGGCGAAGCUGCAGGCGUCAGCGGCGGCAGCGGCAGCGGCACCAGCGGGCGACGGGAGCAGCUCUCGCGCUAGGAGGAAGAUGGCCGAAGCUUCUUUGCCGCCGUGCGGGCGUUUCCGGCGUCGGUGGUCGCUGAUUUUGGUGCCGAUCGACUCCUCUCGGCCUCAGCUUUGUUUUGGCGGCAGCGGUGUCGACAGUGGUGGCCGGAAUCAGAGAUUCACGGUGGAGAGAGAAAAUGGUGGCAGCCGGCAUUUUUGGGCUUUUCCGGCGAGCUCCGGCGGAGGAUGGAUGAUCGGAGGAUGUAUCCCGACUCUCCUCAGCUCAAGCUUCGCGAUGGCACUGGUUUCGUGGCGAUCGGGCUUCGUUUGUGAAUCGACGGUCGAGAUCGUCCGCAAAUCUCUCCGGAUGAUCGGGUGUCAGAUCGGAAAAUCGGAAGCAGGGAUCGUCAUCAGCGCGUCGUUGUGAGUCUGAUGGUGUGUUCGGAUCGUCGAUCGGACUCCGGCGGCUGGAGGCGAGUCGACCAAGCGAUCGAACGUCUCGGUAAAUUUCUUUGGCCCGUUAAUUUUAGAAAUCCUUGGUUUAAUUUGUGUCUAUGGUUUAUAUUGUGUACUUGAUGAUAUUUGUGAGUCAUAAAUAUUUGUCUGUCAGUUGGCCUGCCAUAGUCGUGUUUUUGUGCUGUGUGGCGGAGUCGGGAAAUAGUGAAGUUUGGGGACCCGACUCCCGUUGUUUUAAUUGUUGGUUAUUUGGAGUGUUUUUCUGGCAGGUCCUGGACCCGUUUUUACGGGGGGUAAUGUUCGUGUUGUAGAGGAGGUUCUGCCGAAUUUUCGGUAGUUCCCAAGUCGAGAUUCUUAGACAGUUAGUUCUAGGAGUCUAGACCUAGGGUCUAUUGUAAUUGUUUCAUCGUUUUGAUAAAUUAUUUUCCGUGAUUAGAUGAUCUGUCUGUUCGGCUCGCUCCUACCGAGGCACCUAAGCUGAGCUAGGAGGUCGCAAAUCUGUGAGUAAAGUCAUAUAUCGUUUACGCACGUGUCAUGCAUAAAUUUGAUUGCUACUGUGAACNNNNNNNNNNNNNNNNNNNNNNNNNNNNNNNNNNNNNNNNNNNNNNNNNNNNNNNNNNNNNNNNNNNNNNNNNNNNNNNNNNNNNNNNNNNNNNNNNNNNNNNNNNNNNNNNNNNNNNNNNNNNNNNNNNNNNNNNNNNNNNNNNNNNNNNNNNUAUUUGGAUAUUUAAGUGACCAGACUGGAGGUAAGGUCCCUGGUCGAGCUUUGCUCUCGGGGCGCCAGUCUUAUUGGAUAAGAGAGCCAAAAGGCUAAGGCUGAGAGUUAAGUGACCGGACUGGAGGUAAGGUCCCUGGUCGAGCUUUGCUCUCUGGGCCCCAGUCCUGUUGGAAUGAGAGGUUUGAGAUGUUAGAGUUGAGGUUAGUUGAGACAUAAGUGUUGAAAUAAUCGAGAUUUUAGAGUUGGGAUUAGAGUUCUACUGAAGUACUCUGUCCCGUUGCAUGUGGAAUAAAUUUUGUUUAAGCAUGGCAUGACACGUAUGGUUCGCGUGAUUUACUAAUUAUUUUAAAAUUAAAUGAAUGUGACAUUGAGAUAUUUGAAACUGUUUUAGAUAUAUGAUUUUAACUCACUCUCGAGACUGACAGUCUCCAUUUAUGUUGUUUUUCAGAUUCGUGACUGUUAGUUCUCUCGCGACUCUUAUUCAGUAACCCGACUCCUUCAUCAUCGGGUGAAGUAUUUGAUUUGGUAUGUAAAAUGGUAAAUCUUAGAUUCUCCGCAGUAGUAAAUAGUAGAUGUAUCAGUUGUAAAUUUUCUGAGCUUCGGGUCUCGCCUAGUUUUUCUGGUAGACCGAAGUAAUUUUGUAAAGUGUAACUAUUAAGAUAAAUUGUGACUUUAAUAAUAUUAAUUUGAGAUGAGAUUUGUUUAAAUCAGUGAGUGUCAGGCUUACUACGGGUUUCGGUGGCCUUAAGCCUAUCCAUUCCCUAGUGCCGGUCACGGGCCCACGGGUGGGGUCGUGACAUGCCUCAUCAAAAGCUAGCAAAGCAGCGUUGAUAAAAGCUAUGGUGCAUGCGAUGCCUACCUACACUAUCUGGUGCCAAAAACCAUUUGUGACAGAGUACAAGCUUUUAUUGAAAAGGGAUAAGCGACUCCACUAGCUUAGUUUGGAUAAUGUCUACAGCUCUAAGAAACAUGGGGGUCUUGGUUUUAGGAAUUUAGAGUUGUUCAAUAAAGCCUUCCCAUCAAAACAAGGGUGGAGACUCAUGAAAGAUGAAACAUCACUGGUGGCUAGAACUCUGAAGGCGAAACAUUAUCCAAGGUUAGAUUUUCUUAACGCCAGAAAAGGGCCUCGAAGUAGUUUUACUUGGCAAAAUAUUUUUGUUGGCCAAGAUUUGGUAAGACGUGGAACUCAUUUAGAUAGUGGGUAAGCUCACAGCAUUAGAGUUUUUGAGGAUGGAUGGUAAGCAAGAUCUGAUUCUUUUAAAGUAUGGACAUCGAGGAAUGGUAUGGAUGUUGAGCUAAGGGCACAGGACUUAAUGAAUGAGACGUAGAGAGUGGAAUAACACGUUCAUUGACUUAAACUCUGUUCCCCUUCCCCAAGAUGCGUGCAAAUCAAAAAAAUCCAAUUAGCAAAUUCUAUUAAGAGACUUUAAAGUGGCAAGAGAGGUGUGGUUUGCAUCUUGUUUGGGAUUGAAUGUGCAGGGAUUUAUUGAUGCAUCACUAUGUGUUGGUUUGAGUAUAUUUUGAGGCACUUGGACGAGGAGGUGUUUGGGUUUAUUUUGCUUAUUUUUUGGGCUUCGUGGUACCCUAGGAAUGUAUUUAUUUUUUAGCAGAAACCCAUGACCUGUAGCAAAAUUCUCAACUUGAGUUAUAAAGUGCAUGCAGACAUCGCCAUCGCCAUCGCUAAUGGAAGUCAUGAGCAGAGCCGGACAACUGUUUCGCCGAUAUGGACAAGGCCAGUUGGAGAGAGACAUAUUUGGAUGGAGGAAGUGCCCAGAGUGCGUAAAACAUAUUUUGGCUGAUGCCUUUCGUUAACUGAUGCUUUUGUUUUUCUAUCAAAAGAAAAAGACACCUCUUUUCAAAAGAAAAUAUUAUAAGAUGUUAUUUGUUCUUUUAUGUUUUAAUUGUUAAACAAUUUUUUCAUCUUUGAUCUUUCAAUUGUAAGAUCUCAUGUUUGCUUACAGAAAUAUUAUCAGAUUUAUUAUGAAAUUUAUUUUGUUUAUUUUUAUAGCUAGCAAUAAAUAGAUUUAAUUAUUAUUAAAGAAAUUCAAGACUCAUAUAUAUUAUAAAACUAUAUUAAUUUUCCAUUAAUAAUUUUAUUUGUUUUAAGAAGAUAAACCUUAGCAAAUACUUUUUAAUAUGAACAAUUUUUUUUAUUUCUACUUUAAAAAUUAUAAAAGUAAAGUAUUUUGUUAGAAGUAUAUUGGAAUUUUGAUUUUACAUAUAAAAUAAUUAUAAAAAAUAUAAAGACAUUUUUUUUUUUUUUUUGUAAAAGUUCUGAUUAGUGAAAGUGUCUAUAGAAUUAAUUUUCUAGAAUUAGACUUAAUUAUGCUUAGUAAUUCAAAAUCUUAAUAAAAUUAGAAUAAUACCCACCCAAUGCAUGUUUAAUUAUAUAUUUUCAUUAUUAUUUUUUGUUAUGAAUAUUUUUAUAUUAUUUAAUUAUCUAUUCAGAAUAUUAUUUUUGAUUAUAAAUAAUAUAAACAUAUGAUACUAAAUAAAUGUAGAUAAUUAUCUAUAAUUAUUGAUUUCAAUAAUGAUUGAAUCAUUCGUUAAAUAAAAAUUUGUUCAGUUUUUUUUUUGUUUCUUUUACUAAUAAUAUUCAUAUAAAUCUAAAUAACUAGGAAUAUUUUAUAAAAUUGAAAAAAAAAAACUAUUAAAAAUAUAAAUCAAACCAAAUUAAAUAUUUCAAUAUAAUUUGGUUUAAUAUUUAUUGUUUAAAUAAUCUUUCAGAGUUUUUUGGUUGAUUUAGUAUUCUCUAUUUUUAAGUACAUAAUUCAAUAGUAUUAAUUUACUUUACAUGUAUAAAAAUAUAAAUAUUUUAUUUUAUUAAAUUGCAUAAAAAAUAUAAUCAAAAUUAAUUUUUAAUAAAUAUAUUAAAAAUAAUUUAUUUAUUAAUAUAAAAAUUGAAUUCUAUACAUUAACAAAGGCUUUUUAUUUGAGACUAUAAUAUGCUGCAAUAAUUUUGAUAAAAUAUAUGUAAUAUAAAANNNNNNNNNNNNNNNAUGGUCUAAUGAAUAUAAAUAUGAUGAUAAAGAAAAAAGAAUAAUUCUUUAAUUAAUAGAUAAUUAUUUUAUUAUGAAAAUUAAAAAAGUUAAAUAAUCAAUUAAAAUUUAAAAUUAUAAAGAAGAAUUUCAUAAAAAAAGGAUUAUAAAAUAAUGUAAAUCUAUAAAAAAACUUAUUUUACAUAGUAAUACAAAAUUUAAAGGAAUUAUCUAAAGUUGAAGUUACAAAAAGAAUUUAAAAAUUUUAAAAAUAUGAAAUAACAAAAUAUUAUAACUAAGAUGAUAAAUUUAUAAUAAAAUAUUCUCUAAAAUAAUAAAAAUAUGUUAGAAUUUAUUGAUUCUCUAAAAAUUAAAAAAAUUAACUUAAGAGUGAUACAAUAUGCUAUGUAGGAGAAACGAAAGAGGUGAAAUUCUUUUUCCUUUCUAUAGGGACCAGGAGAUUGGAUCUAGCCGUAAGAAGAAUGCUUGGCUGAUAAAUAACUCAUUUUUUGGUUUUCGACCCCCUCAGUCACUACAAACGCCCCUGAUCAGUGCAAUGGGAUGUGUCUAUUUAUCUAUCUCUUGACUCGAAAUGGAAACAGGUUUGAAAAAGGAUCUUAGAGUGUCUAAGGUGGGGCCGGGAGGGUCUGGUCUCUUAACGCCUUCUUUUUUCUUCUCAUUGGAGUUAUUUCAAAAAGACUUACCACGGUAAGGAAGAAGGGGAGAACAAGCACACUUAGAGAGCGCAGUAUAACAAAGAAUUCUAUGCUGCGUUCGAGAAGGAUGAAUCACUCCCGAAAAGGAAUCUAUUGAUUCUCUCCCAAUUGGUUGAACCGUAGGUGCAAUGAUUUACUUCACGGGCGAGGUCUCUGGUUCAAGUCCAGGAUGGCCCAGCUGCGCCAAAGAAAAGAAUAGAAGAAGUAUCUGACUCCUUCGUGCAUGCUCCACUUGGCUCGUGGAUAUAGCUCAGUUAGUAGAGCUCUACUCUUGCAAUUGGGUCGUUGCGAUUACGGGUUAGAUGUCUAAUUGUCCAAGCGGUAAUGAUAGUAUCUUGUACUUGAACUGGUGGCUCACUCUUUCUAAAUAAUGGGAAAGAGGACCAAAACAUGUCACUAAAAGACUCUACUGAGACAAAGAUGGGCUGUCAAGAACGUAGAGGAGGUAAGAUGGGCAGUUAGUCAGAUCUAGUAUGGAUCGUACGGGGACAAUAGAUGGAGUCGGCGGCUCUCCCAAGGUUCCCUCAUCUGGGAUCCUUAGGGAAGAUGAUCAAGUUGGCCCUUGCAAACAACUUGAUGUUUAAGAAUCACCGCCAAUACCUCGGUGUAGGUAAGUCUGGUAUAAUCAUUUGUUCCAUAGUCUAGGGCUAUUUACAACUAGCCAAUUAUGAAUUUUCAGAUGUACGUACUAGUACUAGCAAAUGCAUCAAAGAUGUAGUCAUCGAUUCUCCCGAGAUGCCACAAUUACCGCAAGCAAACAUAUUAAUGACGAAGAACAUAUUUUUGCUAUGCUACUAAUACUUAUACUUACUCUGCUAUUCUACCCAAGUCUGACUGAGGAAGAAUUAGGGGGGUAUAAAACAAAAAAAGAUUCGGUCUGGGGCAUGUGGAAUGAAUCUACCAUCGAUAAAAAAAAGAAUAAAAAAAGAAAACAUUCUAUUUCGACAAAAGAUCCACACCCAAGUUCCAUAGCUUUGGGUCCGCUAUCCCGAUCAUGAUUUUUCUACCUCUAGAAGGAAAGAUCCUUUCCUUUUUGGCCAGUUAUGGGCAAGGAGGGAUUUGAACCCCCUGACAUUGUGGUUCGUAGCCACGUGCUCUAAUCCUCUGAGCUACAGGCCCCACCCCCUCUCCAUUGGAUCUGUUCCCAGGAGUACCCUAACAAAGGAACCUUUCCUUUCCCCAGCCAUUUCGGGUUAAGAAGAUGCGAAAGUGCCUCUCUCUCUCUAUAAGAACGGGGCGUUUCGAGGUAUGAAGUGGGAGAAUGGAAUUUCAUAAUUGGGGUUUUGAAUAAGACAACCUUUUCAUUUUUUUUUCGUAUUGGAAAAGUAAUAAGAAUGAGGGAUGUUAAGCUUUUUAUCAUCCUGGAGUCGAGCUAUUUUUUCGCAUGACCUCCCCUAUAAUAUCUUCACCGCAGUAGAGUUUAACUACCAAGUUCGGGAUGGAUUGGUGUGGUUCCUCUACGCCUAGGACACCAGAAUAUCGAACCAUGAACGAACAAAGAAAUGAGAGAAAAUCAUAUUUGCUAGUGAUUGUAAGGCCCUAAUUCUUGACUAGGGGGGACACCAAAGGCCUCUGCCCUUCCAUUCUUGGAUCAAUAGAAAGGGAGGGCAAAGCUUUUGGCUUUUUCAUGUUGUCAAAGAGUUGAACAAUAAAAAUAGAUGGCGAGUACCUAAUCAAAUUGAUCGGGUCAUGUAGGAACAAUGUUCAAGUCUACCGGUCUGUUAGGAUGGCUCAGCUACAUACAUCACUGCACUUCCGCUUGACACUUAUCAUAAUGAUAAACGGCUGGUCUUGUUGUGACCUUCUUUUGAAUUCUCAAAACUUCUAUCACUCCACCCCUGCAGGGGUAGAGAACCCGUUGCUGUCUCGGCUGUGCUACCGAAGUUUCUAGGGAAGUCAGAAUAGGAGAGCACUCAUCUUGGGGUGGGCUUACUACUUAGAUGUUUUCAACAGUUAUCCACUCCAUACUUGGCUACCCAACGUUUACCGUGGGCAUGAUAACUAGUACACCAGAGGUGCGUCCUUUUCGGUCCUCUUGUACUAGGGAAAGGUCCUCUCAAUGCUCUAACGCCCACACUGGAUAUGGACCGAACUGUCUUACGAUGUUCUGAACCCAGCUCACGUACCGCUUUAAUGGGAGAACAGACCAACCCUUAGAACAUACUACAGCCCCAAAUGGCGGAGAGCUGACAUCAAGGUGCCAAACCUUCGCGUCGAUGUGAACUCUUGGGAAGAUUAGCCUGUUAUCCUUAGAGUAACUUUUAUCCGUUGAGCGAUGCUCUUUCCACUCGGCACUGUCGGAUCAUUAAGGCCAACUUUCGUCUCUGCUCGACGGGUGGGUCUUGCACUCAAGCUCCCUUCUGCCUUUGCACUCGAGGGCCAAUCUCCGUCCGGCCCGAGGAAACCUUUGCACACCUCCGUUAUCUUUUGGAAGGCCUAUGCCCUAUAGAAACUAUCUAUUUGAGAUUGUCCCUUGGCCUGUAGGUUCUGACACAAGGUUAGAAUUCUAGCUCUUCCAGAGUGGUAUCUCACUGAUGGCUCGGACCCCCCCGGAAGGGGGCCUUCUUCGCCUUCCACCUAAGCUACGCAGGAAAGGCUCAAAGCCAGUCACGGGGAACAAUGAAGCUUCAUAGGGUCUUUCUAUCUAAGUGCAGGUAGUCCACAUCUCCAUAAACAUGUCUAUUUCACCGAGCCUCUCUCCAAGGCAGUGCCUAGAUCGUUACGCCUUUCGUGCGGGUCGGAACUUUCUCAACAAGGAAUUUUGCUACAUUAGGGCUGUUAUAGUCACGGUCGCCGUUCACCGGGGCUUCGGUCACCGGCUCCCCUGUCAUCAGGUCACCAACUUCCUUGACCUUCCGGCACUGGGCAGGCGUCAUCCCCAAUACAUGGUCUUACGACUUUGUAGAGACCUGUGUUUAUUAUAAACAGUCACUAGGGCUUGGUCACUGCAACCCCCUUUGUGAGGAGGCACCCCUUCUUCCGAAGUUACGGGGCUAUUUUGCAGAGUUCCUUCAAGAGAGUUGUCUCGUGCCCCUAGGUAUUCUUUACCUACCUACCUGUGUCGAUUUCGGGUACAGGUACCCUUUUAUUGAAGGUCGUAUGAGCUUUUCCUGGUAGUAUGGCAUGGGUUACUUCAACGCUGUAGUGUCUGGUACUCGAACAUUGGCUCGAGGCAUUUUCUCUACCCCUUCUUAUCCUGAAAAAGCAGGGACACCGUGCGUCCUUGAACCGAUUACCAUCUUUCGGCUAACCUAGCCUCCUCCGUCCUCAAGACCAAUAAGGGGUAGUGUAGGAAUAUUCAAUUGUUGUCCAUCGACUACGCCUGACUCACCCACUGUGGACGAACCUUAGGUGAUAUAUAUAUAUAUAUAUAUAUAUAUAUAUAUAUAUAUAUAUAUAUAUUGAACUUAGAAUUAGACUCCUGCUACAUGAAUUAUAAUUAAUAAAUUAAAUUACUAAAUAAAUAAAUUAACGUAAUUAACUAAAAAAUUAAUGAGACUUUACCAAUAAUUAAUUUAAUAAAAAUUAAUAUUGAUAAUUAAUAUAAUAAUAAAUAAUAUUAAUAAUUAAUAUGAUAAUACUGGAAAUCAUUAAAUUCGUCAAUCCCUUUUAUUUUGUUCUUUUAUGAAAAAUUGGCCGGUCGUUGUAUGUGAUAAUUAUACUAUAUUGAUCAUUCCUUAUCUAAUGAUUAUCAAUCCGUGCAUAAAAAAUUAAUUAUGAGUAUAAAAACCUAUUUAUUGAACUUUUAGUUUAAAAUAAUUAAGUCUAAAGAAGAUAAGGAACUUUAUUAUCUUUUAUAAAAAUUCUACUUAUUGAGAGUGUCUAAAAUUAGAUUUAAUUAUAUUAAAUAAUUAAAAAUAGUUAACUUCUAGAAUUAAUUUUAUACUAAUAAAUUAUUAAUUAUUAAUAUUAAGUUAUAAAUAACUAAUUAAUUUUUUAACUAAAGGAUUACUUACUAAGUUAAUCAGUAAAUUUGUCUAUCACUCUUUUUUCAUAUUAGAAGUUCUCUGUAGAGGUCAUCAAUUGUAAUAAUUUUAUAAAUUAUUUCCCUUUUUCUUACUGAAGAAAUAUAUUAUUGGUUUAAAAAAAUUAACUUUUUAUGACUUAUGAAGUAUAAUAUUUAUGAUGUAUAAAAUUUUGGAUUCAUCUACUUAUUGGUAAGUAGAAUUAAUUUUAUUAUUUUGAUACUUUCUAGUAAUAAAACAUUCCUUCUCCAAUAAAAUUCAUUCUUUCUUAAUUCUUAUUUUAAUAAAAAUUCAUGUUUCUUACUUUUCUAUAUUAAAUUUUUAACUUAUUCUUCAAUUAUGAUUUUAAUAUGACUGUUAAUAUUAAAAUGCAUAAAUCAAUUAAGGUAAUUUAGUCAUUUACUAAUUUAAUUUAGUAAUUAAUGAUUUAUUUAGUAUAAAUUUAAUUCUAGAAAACUAUAUUAGAAUUUUUAAUUAAAUAAUCUUUAUAAUUCUUUGUAAAACAUGAAAAUUGCAAGUUUCAAGACUUUAAAUUUGAGAACUUAAAUUUUCAUGAAAGAAAGAGAAAACAUAAUUCAAAUAACAAAGUAUUUUUUUCUCUUUGAUUUUUCAUUUGAAAUUAAUAUUUUCAUUGAAAACGACAACAAAUUAGAAAGUAUGUAAUAGUUCAAAAAUAAUUAUAAAUGAGAGGCUCCAAAUAAUCUAAAGUCAAAACAGCCAGUAUUUUGAAUAAGAAACUCUCUAAGGAAAAAUAAUUUGGCAAUUACAUCUUUAUUGAUGGGAUGCUUAAUAAUUGGAUAAAAUUUAACUGAGUAAUUUGGAAUUUGGAAUUAUGGAUUUUCUUUUGUAUAAAUUAAUCAUCUUCACAAGUUGGAUUAUAAAUAAAUUUCAAGUAUAUAGUCUCUAUUAUAAGCAUGUUUUAUAUUGCUAAUUUUAAAUUUUAAUUUAUAUACUAUAAAGCCUUUUUGAAAACUUUAAUAUUGUUACAAAUACUUUCAAUUUGAUUCUAUUAAAAUGUAAUAUAUGAUAUUAAUAUUAUUAUUGACUUUUUAUACUCAUAAAAAUUUUAAAUUUAUAUUAAAUUAUUAUAAUUACAUCAUAUGUAUGGCUAUUUUUUUAGCUAAACGCAGGUAAAAAGAUAUUAGUAAUAUUAAAACUGAAAGUUAGUUUUAUGAUAAAAAAAUUAAAUUUUUCUCUUUAAAAAUUAAAUUAAAAAGAUACUUUUUUCUCUUUCAUUGUAACUAUCUCUAUGGACUCUAAGGAAAUUAAAAUGUCGAUUUUACUCUUAAUCUAAUGUUAAUCGUUUUUGUUUGAAAUAUUAGUUAUAAAUAUAAAUCAAAGUAGAAAGAAUUAUAAAAAUUAUUUAAUAAUUAAAAAUUUUAAUAGAGUUGAAUUUUUAAAAUUAGAUUUAUACUAAAUGAAUUAUUAAUUAUUAAGUUAAAAUAAUAAAUAACUAAAUAAUUUUAAUUAACUAAAAGAUAAGUAAGGGUAAUGACUAACUUUGCCUAUCCCACUUAUUAGCUUUUUCUUUUUUUUUUUUUUUUUUUUUUUAUAUGUACGUUAUGAUAAGUAGAAAGUAUCUUUUUCUGCCAAUCAACUUUUAUGAGUUUACUUUUACAUUUUCUUAAUUCAAAUUUUAAACAAUGGAUCUAUUUAAAAUUUUUUAGUGUUUACUCAGAAUAUCUAUAAUCAAGCAAGAAUGCAGUAAACGGUAAACUCUUCUUAAUAUUGUAUAAUUAUAAGAAUUUGAACUCAUAAACUUUAAUAUCUAUAUUCCAGCAAGGAUGUAGUAAAUGGUAAACUCCUCUUAGUAUGCCUUAAAAUUAGUCAGUGUACUACUAGAUCAAUACCAUAUUGGUGUCAAUAGUAUCUAAUAAUUAAAACAAUAAUAACACAAUAACUCUUUCUUUUUAACUAUGGAUUUAGCAUGUAAGCAUAUAUUUUAUCUUCCUUUCUGUAUUUUCCUUCUCUUUUCUCUCUCCAGCCUCAAUAUCUUUGAUUUGUUCUUAAAUUAUUCAGGUAAAAGUCAGUUAUAAGGAGAGAUCACGAGUCAACCACUAAGUCUUUGGCACAGUAAAAGAGCUUUACGAAAAUUAGAUAGAGCUGUCAAGUUCAAACCUUUAUUUCUCUUUUUUAUAAUAAUAACUAUAAAGAAAAGAUAUGGGUCCAAGUCGUUCUUUGUAAAUAUAAUGUGGCCUUGAUCAUAUUCCUUCUCAUCUUCCGAGUAAGAAUGGGUCUCAUGUUUGGAGAUCAAUUUGCAAGAAUUGGAAUGUUAUCAAAAGCGGAGUGAGAUGGAUUAUUGGUAAUGACAGAAAGGUUCUCUUUUGGCUAGAUCCUUAGAUGGCUAAUAGUAAACCAUUGUUGUUUUAUGCUACUGGCCCGAUGUUUGAGGAAGUCUUAGAGGCAAGGGUCUAUCACUUUGUUAGCUCCAACGACAAUUGGAUUUGGGCUAAGUUUUCUAAGGUCUUGCCAUCUCAAAUCUUUCUCAAAAUUACAAACGUUAAACCUCCUUGUAAUGAGGAUGGUGAUGAUUUUAUGACUUGGGCAUGGCCUAAGAAUGGAAAGUUCUUUGUUGGGACAGCCUAUAACCAAAUGGUGAGCAGUGAAUGGAAUGAGGAAAAUUUCUCAUAGAGGUUGGCAUGGGAUUAGAAAGGGCCUUUAGAGGAUAAAAGUUUUCAUUUGGCUAGCUUGAACAAGAAUUUGACUGCCAAAGUGAAGCUGGUUAGGAGGUAAAUUAAGGAUGUUCCUAUUUUGACAUUUGUGGCAAUGCUGUAGAGGAUAUUCUCCAUGUGUUGCGGGAUUAUUUGGUAGCUAGACAAAUCUAGAAAAGCUUAAUUCCUCCGGAUAGCCAGAUGGCUUUCUUCUUACUAGACCUGCAUAAUUAAAUGUUAAGUGAUACAGGCAUUCAAGGAGAGAUAAAUUGGUCUAUCACCUUUAGAGUUGCUCUAUAGAAAUUAUGGAGGUGGAGAAAUGAUGCGCGUUAUCUGUACAUGACAAAAUGCACCGAUCGUAUUAAGUAAUACAAUAAUAAAUAAGAGCAUCGUUCCACUAGGGAUCUAAUUGUGAGUAAUAUCUUCAAUCAUACACUAAUAUUUAGCAAUCAUAAUAUUGUUGGGUUGUAAUAAUAUUUAAUGGUCAAAUAAUCUUGAAAACAAAGAUUAAAACAAUUAGUAAACUUAUCAAGAAUAAAACCAAUUUAGACAGUAAAUCUCCUUAAUAAGUUAAGUAUUUCAUGAAACAAACAAUAGUUAAUUCAAAUCAAGAGUUGAGUUAGCAUUUCAUAAAAUUAGGUUUAAACCUUUCUCAAGUGAUUAAACCCCUAAUUCCUAAGAGGAGGGAGAGGAAUCUCUUCCCAAACUAACUCACUUAGGUCAUGCAUUAAGAUUAAAAAACUAUUCAACCAAAGGAUCUUGUAGAUCUAUCUUUAGUAUCCUAAUCAAUCCUCAAUCCCUAAGAUGUUAUCAAUUUAUAAAAAGUUAUCUCUAAUCACUUUAUGAAAAUAAAUCAUAGUCAAUACGUCGACUUAUCAAUUGAAAUAGAUAAUUAAGCAAUCAAAGGAACAAAACAACUCAUAGAAAAAAUUAAUUGUAUUAACUUUGAAUCAAUCCAUACAAAACAAAUUAGGGUUCAUCAAAACCAAAAUAGCAAGAAAAUUAGUUCCUAAAAAUUACAAUAGAGAAAUAAAGAUUAGGAAAAGAAGAUCUCAAACUAUUCAUGGAAGAGUAGAGACAAAAAUCUUCAAUCUUCAAAAGUAAUGAAUGAAUUAAUGUUCUUUCUUGAGAAAUAACAAUCAAAACCCUAAAAAUGAAAGAAAGAUAAAGUUUCUAAGUAUUUCUCUCUCUAGAAAUGAAAAUAUAACAGAACUUCCUUAAAAAACCCCUAAAGUCCUUUAAAUAGUGUAUUUUUAUGAUUGACAAGGGGACCACACGGGCACCACAAGGUCGUGUGAUGUCCUUAGCUUUUCGAAGCUUGAAUAUAUAUUUCUUUCUGUUCUUUACUCUACGGGCUAUUUUAGGAUAUCAUAAAAAUUGAAUUAAGGCUUACGUUCUUCAUCAAAGUUGUAGCUUUUGAAGAGUAGUUCAUUUUAAGAUUUGCAACACUUCAAUUAAACCUCUUUAGCUCUAGAUAAAGUCCAAAUACUGAGACUGACCCAAACAGAGAUGGAGUGCAUAACAUCUGACUUCAACCUAAGCUUUCUCAUCCUUAGCAACCUAAUAUGGAGUUGAGCUAUUUAUAAGCAUUAUAGCUGAGGAAGUCCUCUACAAAAUUGAUGAAGACCAGUUUUCAAUUCUAAACCUGUAAGAUCACAAAAAACUACACUAAAACUAAUGCGAUUAAAUCUGCGUAAUGCUGAAAUAUCAGUCUGACACGGAAAGCACACGCCCGUGUGGAUCCUUCAUACAAUCUGCCAUUUCUUACAACUCAAAUGAGAAGGCACACGCGUGUGCCUUCCCGUGUCACAUUGAACUUUGGAUAAAUAUGCCUUUUCUUUGCUAGAUUCUCAUACUUUUCAAUUUUAUUUGACUCAUUAACAUGUAUUAUCCUUAAAGUGCCUAAAAGAACUGAAAAUUAAGCUUGAAUAAACAAAUCAAAUUAAAUUGCAGUAAAAAUUAAUAUAAGAUAAAGCUGAAAAGUAAGUACCUUUAGCACUUAUUAAAUUUCCAAACACUUAGCAAUUGCUUGUCCUCAAGCAAAUUGAAUAGAAUCAGAAAUAAAGAAAUAAUAAACUCUUUGUUUAACAAAUAGAUAUUAAAUAAUAUCAAGGUUAAUCAUUCAUAUCAUUAAAGCCUAGAAUCAUUAGCCAAUAAUUAAUCCUUAAACAAAAUACCAACAUCUAGGGGAAUCACAUAAUAGGAAGUAAUGAAAAUUAAAACCUUAACAUCUAAAGUCAGGGAAAUGAGCAUUCUUUGCAAAUAACCCAAAAUUUUAAAGAAAAUAGAGAAAAGAUUUUUUCCCUGAGCACAAAAAAACUUCAUGAACCGCAAUUACUUAUGUCUCUGUUUUUUUUAGAGAUCUAUGCAUAUUCAAAAUUGUCAUUCUUUUGACGCGAAUGUAGAUAUGGAUGAUGCCAACCCCCAGUUACUUAACUAGAGUCACAAAUCUAAAUAACUACUCAUAUUCUCGGGUUUCUUUCAAUUUAUUUCUUUUUAUUUCGAAUGAGAAUAGCGGAAUAGAGCAAAAAACUCUUAGCAUUGUAUUUUGUUUACGUUCAUUUUUUUGACAUUUCGAAAGAAUAAGAGAGUACAAAGGAGUAUUAGAUGUGUCUACUUGAUAAGAUUAAGCGAAAUUUGAAAACUUAAUGCUCAUAAAUAUAACUAAAGUUUCAAGAUAUAAAAAUAACGCGACAUUAUGAAUUAAAAAUCCUAGCAUGGAUACCAAGUUCAAGUCAUAAUUCAAAGUGAAAUCAACUAAAUCGCAAUUCAAUAAAUGACUAACCAAAUUUAUUAUUUUGUACCUAUAAAUUUGAGAUAGAGAAAAUCAUAAUAAGUAAUUAAUUAAACUUAAUAAGCUUAUAGAAAAUUAAUCACAAAUAGGCAAAAGACAACAAAAAUGCUUCCCCCACACUUAAUCGACAUUAUUGUCCCCAAUGUAUUUGUUAUAUAACGUACAAUAAAAUAAAAUAAGGAGGAGACUUAAACCGAAUGAUUGUCGUUUUUUUUUAAUUCAAAAUUCAUUCUAAUUCACAAGUCAUCUGUUUAUCUAUCGCACAUCUAAGAAUAGAAAUAAAUGUUAUAACAUAUAUAGUCAUCCAAUAACAAAAGAAAACAAAAACACUAAAAAUAAAAAAACCAUAAAUAUCCUAAUUAAGUACAAUCAUCUAAAAAUAAAAUAAAAGACAUAGAAACAAAUCAAAAUAAAAGUCCAGCUCAAAUGCUAGAACAAGGUGGAGGUUCAAAUCCUCCAUACCAUCAUCUCCACCAACCUACAUCAAGGAGCUUAAUCAUCACCACCAAAAAUGCAUAUUCUAAAUGAGAUAAGAAUUGCUUAAGCUUCAAAGUUAGUAGGUAUUUAAUAGGAGGCUUCAUUCUUUCUUUGAUGGGCAUCUCAAUAGCUUUUGAUGUUUUCAGUUUUUCUGGUUUCUGCACAAGACACAACUCAAAAGUAUCUUUAGCAAUAAUAGAUAAAAUUAAAUUGACAAUUUCAUGCUCUAUCAUAUCAACACUAGAAUCCAUAUCAUUAAGUGCAAGUGGGUGUUUUAUGCCAUUGGGGGUUUAAAAAGUCAAUUGCUCAUCCCCUACCCUAAGAAUGAGUUUACCAUCAUGAACAUUAAUAUAGUUCUAGCUGUAGCAAGAAAGGAUUUAUCAAGAAUAAGGAAAACAUCAACAUCCUCAUCUAUAUUCAUGAUCAUAAAAUCCACAAGAAGAAUAAACUCUUGAACCUUUACCAAAACAUCUUCAAUGAUAUCCCUAAGGUAUACAACAGAUUUAUCAGCUAGUUGAACACUCAUGAGUGUUGGUUUAGGUUCUCUAAGUCCUAGUUUCUUAGAAAAAUUAUAAGGCAUAACACUAAUGCUAGCCUCCAAGUUAGCAAGUGCAUUUUCAACAUUUAAAUUACUAAGCUUCUUUCGUAAUCGCCUCUCAAAGAUCGCCGAGCUCUUCUCUGAUAGUUGCACCAUUGACACUUCCUUAAGCUUCCUCUUGUUAGAGAGGAGUUCCUUUAAGAACUUAGCAUACUUAGAAAUUUACGAUAGAGCUCCUAUAAAAGGUAUGUUAAUAUGCAACUACUUAAAGAGUUCAAGAAACUUACUAAAUUUUAUAUCCAAUUUGUCCUACAGAAGAUGGGCUGGAAAUGGUACCCUUGGUUUAUACUCCUUCACAAAAGGGGUAGGCUUUGGUGUUACUUCUACUUUAUCUUCUACUUUAUCUUUAACCGCAUCAGAUUGCUUUUCUGCUUACUUUGUUUCAGUUCAUAAUUAUUUUCCAUUUCUGAAAGUAAUGACCUUGAGUUGCUCUCUAGGAUUUGUCUCUAUGUUGCUAGGCAAGCUUCCUUGGGACCUUUCACUCAAAAGCUUUAUAAUCUGCCCCACUUGAUUUUUUAAGUUGUGAAUCGAAUCUUGUUGGUUCCUAAGAGCAGUUUUUGUAUACUGAAACCUUAAUUCAGAAGCUAAGAUAAAUUUCUCCAUCAUCUCCUCUAAAUUACUCCUUCUAGGAGGAGCUUGUUGCUGGUUUUGCUAUUGAAAUCCUGGUGGUGGAGGUCUUUGCUGAUUCUGAUUCCCCCAAGAGAAAUUCAGAUGAUUUCUCCAUCCUAAAUUAUAUUUAUUGCUGUAGGGGUUGUUCUAUUGGUCUGAAGCAUUACCCAUAUAAUAAACAUGCUUUAGCUUAGCAAAAGUAUUGCCAUUUUGGCAAUCUUGACAUAGAUGACCACACCUAUACCAAUCACAAGUCAUAACUUGUGCCUGUCUUCCAGAUGAAGACAUAGUCAAAGCAUCCAUCUUCCUGCUCAUAGCCUUUCACUGUGCAUUUACAGUUACCAUAGGGUCUACCGCAUGGAUUCCACUCCUUUUGACUCGAACCUACUCUCUUGGAUUCUGCCAUUGAUAGUUCGUGACUGCCAUAUCCUCAAUAAGAUCCAUAGCUUGCUCAAGAGUCUUAUUGUUUAGUGAUCUACCUGCUGUAGUAUUAAUAGACUAUUUACUUGCGUAAUUCAGUCCAUUAAAGAAUGUUUGAAUUUGUAGCCAUAAAAGUAAAUCAUGGUGUGGAUGGCUUCUCAGUAAAUCUUUGAAACAUUCUCAACAAUUGUAUAGAGUCUCAUUCUCUUACUGAAGAAACCUUGUUAUGUCAUUCCUUAACUUGGCCAUCUUAGAAGGUGAAAAAUAUCUUUCCAAGAGUUUCUCGGCCAGCUGAUUCCAAGUCGUAAAUAUCCUACUUGGAAAUAACUUCAACCACUUCUUUGGCUUAUCCCUUAAUGAAAAUGGGAAUAGCCUCAACCGAAUAGCACCAUCUAAUACCCUAUUAAUCUUGAAGGUAUCGCAAAUCUCCAGAAAAUCAUUUAAAUGGGUGUUUGGAUUACCAUUUGAAUGAUGUUAGGCUUGAUCUCGAAGUUUUUUACUACAACAUUUGACCUUAUAAUACUCGAUGUGGCCCCAUUAAGAGUUUGGCAUGCAUACUCCUGCAUGAUUCUCUCCCUCGGUGGAGCUGCCAUCCUUAACUAUUCCCCUUCUUAGUUUGGUUCUCCUUCUUGAUUUCGAUUCUGUAACUCUGCUGGCAUUUCGGCUAAAGCUCGUUCUCGUUCUUCUCUUUGUUGCUUCCUUAAAGUUCUUUCCAACUCUAGUUCGUAAGCAAAUAAUUCAGUUGAACUAGCUCGGGUCAUAUACAAAUUCAAGUAUUUACAGAAAAUACAAACAUAACAAAGAUAAAUCAAAUGAAAAAUAAAAAUGCUAAAUUACUAGCUUUUGAAUUACUAAUGAUAUCACAAUAGAAAAUAGGUCCCCGAUAACGGCGCCAAAAAUUUGAUGCGUGCUAUCUGCACAUGGCAAAGUGCACCAAUCGUAUCAAGUAAUAUAAUAAUGAAUGAGAGUAUCGUUCUACUAGUGACCUAAUUAUGAGUAUUACUUUCAAUCAUACACUAAUGUUUAACAAUAAUAAUGUUGUUGAGGUGUAAUAAUAUUUAAAAGUAAAAUAAUCUUUAAAACAAAGAUUAAGACAAUUGGUAAAGCCUAUUUAGGUAAUGAAUCCCCCUAAUAAGUUAAGUAUUUCAUGAAACAAACAACAAUUUCAAAUCAAGAAUUGAGUUAGCAUUCUACAAAAUUAGGUUUAAACCUUUCUCAAGUGAUUAAACUCCUAAUUCAUAAACGGAGGGAGAGAAAAUCCCUUCUCGAACCCACUCACUUAGGUCAUACAUUAAGAUUAAGAAACUAUUGAACCGAAGAAUCUUGUAGAUCUAUCUCUAAUAUAUCAAUUCUCAAUCCCUAAGAUGUGAUCAAUUUAUAAAAAGUUAUCUCUAAUCAGUUUAUGAAAAUAAAUCUCAAUCAAUACAUCGACUUAUCAAUUAAAAUAGAUAAUUUAGCAAUCAAACGAACAAAAUAACUCAUAGAAAAGAUUAAUUUUAUUAACUUUGAAUCAAUUCAUGCAAAAUAAAUUAGGGUUCAUCAAAAUCCAAAUAGUAAGAAAACUAGUUCCUAAACAUGACAAUAGAGAAAUAAAGAUUAGAGAAAAAAGAUCUCAAACUAUUUAUAGAAGAAUAGGGAUGGAAAUCUUCAAUCUCGGAAAGUAAUGAAGGAAUUGAUAUUCUUCCUUCAGAAAUAUUAAUCAAAACCUUAAAAAUGAAAGAAAGAGAAAGUUUAUAAGUGUUUCUUUCUCUAAAAAUAAAAAUAUAACGGAACUUUCUCAACACAACCCUAAAAGUUACUUAAAUAGUGUAUUUUUAUUACACGGGCACCACACAGCCGUGUGACGUCCUUAGCUUUUCGUAACUUGAAUAUGUGUCUCUUUUCAUUCUUUACUUUGCAGACUAUUUUAGGGCAUCGUAAAAAUCUAAUUGAGGCUUACAUUCUUUAUCAAAUUUUAGCUCUUGGAGAUUAGUUCAUUUUAAUAUUUUGAAUCACCUCAAUAAGACCUCUAUAUCUCUAAAUAAGGCCUAAACACUAAGAUUGACCUAAACAAAGACGGACUGCACAACAUCUGAUUUCGAUCCAAGUUUUCUCAUCCUUAGCAACCUAAUAUGGAGUUAAGCCAUUCAUAAGAAUUAUAGCUUAGGAGGUCCUCUAUAAAGUUGAUGAAGACCACUUUUCAAUCCUGGACCUUUAAGAUCACAAAAAAGUAUAUUGAAGCUAAUGAAAUCAAAUAUGCGUAAUGCUGAAAUUCGCCUAUUAAUAUGACACGAGAAGCACACGCCCGUAUGGGCUUCCCAUGUGGACCCUUCAUGCAUUUGCCAUUUCUCACAAUGGAAGACUACAUGCUUGUGUGGCUUCCCGUUUCACACUGAGUUUUGGAUAAAUAUGACUUUCUUUUGCCCGAUUCUCAUACUUUUUAAUUUUAUUUGACUCUUUGAUAUGUAUUAUCCUUAAAGUGCCUAAAACAAUUAAAAAUUAAGCUUGAACAAACAAAUCAAACUCAAUUGAAAGUAAAAUCAAUAUAAAAUAAAGCUAAAUAAUAAGUGCUUUUAGCACUUAUCAAGAAAUGAACUCUUUUUUUAAAAUGCAAGCUUGUGGAAGGAGCGAAUGAUAUCUGACAUUCUUUGUUUUUAGCUGAAAUUGCAAGGACUGCCGAAGGUCAUGGUAGUAGAAGCUAUAACGAGUUGCUUGUCUAUUAGACACCUUCAAAGGGACCCAGUUUAAAGCUCAACACUGAUGUGGCUUUCUGCUCGAAUACUAUGCAUGUGAAUGGGGGUGGGGUUCUGCAGGAUGUUAAGGCUAUGUGGCAGGAAAGCUUUAUCAUGAAUAUAGGGUGUUGCUCAAUUACUAAGGUGCAGGUAUGGGCCUAUUUAAAGGUCUACAUUUUGCUUGGGAGAGAGGAGUUUGAAACCUAGAAUUAGGGCUGAUAGCUUGUGUAUCGUGCAGCUUGUCGAAAGUCAAAAAUUAGGGAUCAACACUCACUGCCAGCUUACGAAGGGUAUUAAGAAUCUUUUGUCUAGGAAUUGGCAAGUCUUAUUAAGGCAUAUCUUCAGAGAGGCCAACAGGGUAGCUAAUUAGCUAAUAAGCUUUGCUUCAACUUUUCCAUUGGUUUUUAUAGGGAUAAUAAUAUAAAUGGUCACUAAACUUUGCAAUUAAUUUUAUUUGGAUUAUAAAAUUUUAAUUUAUUUUAUUUCAACAAUUCAAUAUUAGUUUUAGUUGUAAUUUAGUCACUUUGCCAAUAAAAAAUUGCCAUGUCACAAUUUUCUUACUUAAUUAUAUUUUUCUUAUUAAUUGUUUUUACUACCAUCAAUCUUGUAUUUAAGAAGUGAAUAAUUGAAAUAAAAUUAAGAUUAAAUGACAAACAAAAAAAAAAAGAUUUUAUGAUUAAAAUAAAACGGAAUACAAAGUUGUUUUAAAGAAUCCGCCGGUCAUCUCUUAUUUCAGGAUGUUGUUGACUACUAGUAGAGUUAUCAGUAUUUAUUAGCUUUCUUUAAAUCUCUUUUUUGUAAAAGAAGAAAAAAAGGAGUGCGAGUCAAUUUUUCAGUUCAACAUUUAUUCUCAAGUAGAAGCUCUCUCUUAUUACAAACUGAAGAGAUGAGACCAUCCAUCAAAGUCUUCUUUUAUUUUUCCGGACUUCGCAUUGACCUACACAUCCCCCCGCUCCCCAUAGAAAAAGAUAAAAAAAGGCCAUGUACGCCUUUCUCAGUACAAAGCUUAAGCAUCAUAAUGCCUUCUUCCUGACUGGAACCUUGAGCUACCUAAGGUUGUUUCCUCUCUAGCAAACUUGAUUCUCCUUGCCUCUUCUAUCGACACCCGGAAUGCAUUGGCAAUCACCUCCACUGGCAUGCCGCGAACAGCAGAAGUGCGGCCGGAAAGAUCAGAGGUCAUGGCAUUGUCGUUGGUCUUGAAGGCAACGUAUUCGAAUCUGUCACUCUCUGACCGUUUCACCACCACAAAGUUCUGUGGCACGGUCAGGACCUGUCCUUCUCGUACAUUUCCAUCGAACACACUGUUGCCGUUCUCAUCCACCACCUGAAUCCGUGCUUGACCCUUCACGGCAUAGAUUACGCUGUGGGCAUUUAUAUGCCAGUGGGGUAACCUCACAGCAUCCUGCCAGGAACAUAUCAAUCAUUAUAAGUUGUGGAAGCGCUUCAUUAUAGUUAGAAUCGAAGGAGCAUUGAUGACUUACAUUGCGAAGAACGACAUGCGAAGCACUGAGUUGGAGCCAUCGCAGAAUAGGGAGGUUGUGGCUGUUGACAGUGCUAACACGGCCAACUUCUGGGACAAAUACAUCAGAGCGAGAGGGAUCAGCAAUGUUCUCUUUCAUUCUCAUGGUGCAAAAUGUCUCCUCAACGCCAUUGUAACGUCCUGGUCGGCCUUCUUGCUCUCUCUCUCGUUGUUCCUCUCUCUCCUGUUGAGUCCUGGGUGGCCUAACUACCAGAAGCCUACCUUCUACAUUCACAAUGCUGCCUCUGAAGUCACUUUGGCCUUGAAGUUUCCUAGCCAACUGCUCGUCCACGUUGAAAGCUUCGGCAAGGACUCUUGAGUCUAUUCCGCAGAAAAGAUUGUUGCAAGAAACAUGUGGCGGCUGACUUGGACGGCGAGAAAAUUGAUGCUGGCCGCGCUCAUAGUCGCCGCGUGGAAGUCGUGGGAACACAUCUUCUGUAUUGCCAGCUAGAUAAAAGUCCUGUUAACAAGUUCAAGAAAAACCAUAAAAUGUGAAUUAACGCCUAACAAACACCUGACCGCAUAUACAUGCGUAGGUAGGCAUAUGUUUUUGUUUCUUACUCUGGGGUUCCUAUCAAGCUGGUUGCCUAUGUUGGCAGUGUCAAGCACAGAAAUAGUAACGACAGGCUCAUUGCCGUCAUUGUAGCACCAGUGGGCUACUCCAGCAGGCAAAGCAAUAACAUCGCCCUUACGGAAAUGACGAAUCUUCUGGUGCUGAUCACGAACUCUGCUGCUGCCACCUGAUUGCUGAGACUCUUGGAGUGUUUCAGCACAUCCCGGGAGCAAGACCCCUGUCAUUCCUCUACCUGUAUAUAAACAAAUUAAUCAUCUCAUAAUCCAAAAUUCCAAGCACAUUAACUCACAUAUACCGCUUGGUGUAUAUAAUUUCAGCUUUUGAAUAUAUAAUUUUACCCUGGACAACGUAUAAGAGUUGAGGAGCAUUGCUAUAGGAUGGCAAUAGAAGGCCAUUGGGAUGAAUGGUGCGCCUAACAACAGCAACACCAGCGCAUUGGAACUGAUCACGGUUAGGAUUCCACGACUCAACCAAACCAGCUUCGGUCUGAAUACGUUUAUCGGGUUCGAGGGCAUAGAGUUUAUUGAGUUGGCACUCAUUACCCUGCUGAAAUUCACGGCGAGCUAGAGAGCCAUGGAAGAGAACAAGUAGGAAGAAAGAAAGAGAGAGCAGCGAAGAAGGCUGAACCAUAGUGGCAGAGAGGAGGGGAUAGGUGGUUCUGGGAUGGAAAUGGCGAAUGGAAGGGGUUGGUAUUUAUAGAGGAAGAAGGAGAUGCAAAAGAAAGAUGAUCGUAAGGUUUCUUUGGUCACUCUCUUUGAUUUGCAUGGCUACUUCAUCUUAACUUCUUACACCUAAUAAAGUCAGGCAGGGCAGGUGUAUCAAAACUCCAUAGAAGAAUACAAAAGUUUGUGACUGGGGAAGAAGGAA